rnacentral:tRNA from 1 species
AACUUUAUAGUCAAAAUAUGAUUUUAGACUGCAAUUCUAAAGGUGUAGAUUCUACUAAGGUUU